rnacentral:rRNA from 1 species
GACAGAGGGGGCAAGCGUUGCUCGGAAUUACUGGGCGUAAAGGGCGCGUAGGCGGGAUGGCAAGUCGGUCGUGAAAUCCCUCGGCUCAACCGAGGAACGUCGAUCGAUACUGCUGUUCUUGAGGAUUGCAGAGGAGACUGGAAUUCCCGGUGUAGCGGUGAAAUGUGUAGAGAUCGGGAGGAGCACCUGUGGCGAAAGCGGCUCACUGGACCACAACUGACGCUGAGGCGCGAAAGCUAGGGGAGCAAACAGG